UACAGGGGGGGCAAGCGUUGUCCGGAAUUACUGGGCGUACAGCGCGCGCAGGCGGUUGAACACGUGCCGUGUGACAAACGUCGGCUUAACCGACGUAGGCCAGGGUACACGGUUCGACUGGAGGCAGAGAGAGGGAUGUGGAAUACCCGGUGGAGCGGUGAAAUGCGUAGAUAUCGAGAGGAACACCGGUGGCGAAGGCGGCCUUCUGGACAGUGACUGACGCUGAGACGCGAAAGCGUGGGGAGCGAACAGG
rnacentral:rRNA from 1 species